CAUCAUGAAGCUUAAAGCGUUAACCUUUUAAGUUAAAAUUAGGGACCCUAAAUCCCCAUGAUGA
rnacentral:tRNA from 1 species